CCUAGUGAUAGCNGGUUAUUCAGGAAAAGAAUAUUAGUUCAACUAAAAAUUACCUAAAUAUAAACAAAUUUUACUCUAAUUUUUAAGCAAUUCAAAUAAGGUACAGCCUAUUUGAAACAGGAUACAACCUAAACUAACGGGUAACUUUUCUAGCACAUAUACCCAAGUAGGCCUAAUAGCAGCCAACUUUCAAAAAGCGUCAAAGCUUACUUAUAUGCUAAUCUAAUACCUUAAUAAACUUUAAACCCUUUAUUAAUACUGAAUACUUCUAUAUUCUUUAUAGAACUUUUUAUGUUAAAACUAGUAACAAGAAGGAAAACUUCUCUUUAAUGUAAAUGUAAGACGGCUAGAAUGCCCCACCGACAAUUAACGCCCAUGAACAACCAGUAGAAACACUACAAGAAAAAUCUACUACUUUUCACGUUAACCUUACACAAGAACAUUCCAAGAAAGAUUUAAAGAAAAGGAAGGAACUCGGCAAAUUUUAACCUCGCCUGUUUACCAAAAACAUCGCCUCUUGCUGAUUAUAAGAGGUCUAGCCUGCCCAGUGAUCUAAUUCAACGGCCGCGGUAUCCUAACCGUGCGAAGGUAGCGUAAUCACUUGUUCUUUAAAUGAGGACUAGUAUGAACGGCAUCACGAGGGUUAAGCUGUCUCCCCUUUCUAAUCAGUGAAACUGAUCUCCCCGUGAAGAAGCUGGGAUGAUUUUAUAAGACGAGAAGACCCUAUGGAGCUUUAAACUGUUCAACAAUUGCUAUAUUAUCCCUAAUUUCCAGAAUAUAAAAUUAUUUUAACAUUAUGAUUGUUAGUUUUCGGUUGGGGUGACCGCGGAGUAUAAAUUAACCUCCACGAUGAAAGAAACUCUAUUUCUUAACCCAGAGUUACAUCUCCAAGUAUCAAAAAUUUGACAUUAAUUGAUCCAAUUUUUUUGAUCAACGAACCAAGUUACCCUAGGGAUAACAGCGCAAUCCACUUCAAGAGCCCCUAUCGACAAGUGGGUUUACGACCUCGAUGUUGGAUCAGGGUAUCCU
rnacentral:rRNA from 1 species